rnacentral:rRNA from 1 species
CCUACGGGAGGCUGCAGUGAGGAAUAUUGGUCAAUGGACGAAAGUCUGAACCAGCCAUGCCGCGUGCAGGAAGAAGGCCCUAUGAGUUGUAAACUGCUUUUGUACAAGGGUAAACCUGAAUACGUGUAUUCAGCUGAAUGUACUUUACGAAUAAGGAUCGGCUAACGCCGUGCCAGCAGCCGCGGUAAUACGGAGGAUCCAAGCGUUAUCCGGAUUUAUUGGGUUUAAAGGGUGCGUAGGCGGAUUGAUAAGUUAGAUGUGAAAUGUCCGGGCUCAACUCGGGAACUGCCUCUAAUACUGUUGAGCUAGAGUGUAGAUGAGGUAGGCGGAAUGUAUGGUGUAGCGGUGAAAUGCUUAGAGAUCAUACAGAACACCGAUUGCGAAGGCAGCUUACCAAUCUAUAUCUGACGUUGAGGCACGAAAGCGUGGGGAGCAAACAGGAUUAGAUACCCGGGUAGUC